UGGGGAAUAUUGGACAAUGGGCGCAAGCCUGAUCCAGCAAUGCCGCGUGAGUGAUGAAGGCCUUAGGGUUGUAAAGCUCUUUCGCACGCGACGAUGAUGACGGUAGCGUGAGAAGAAGCCUCGGCUAACUUCGUGCCAGCAGCCGCGGUAAUACGAAGGGGGCUAGCGUUGUUCGGAAUUACUGGGCGUAAAGGGCGCGUAGGCGGCCUGUUUAGUCAGAAGUGAAAGCCCCGGGCUCAACCUGGGAAUAGCUUUUGAUACUGGCAGGCUUGAGUUCCGGAGAGGAUGGUGGAAUUCCCAGUGUAGAGGUGAAAUUCGUAGAUAUUGGGAAGAACACCAGUGGCGAAGGCGGCCAUCUGGACGGACACUGACGCUGAGGCGCGAAAGCGUGGGGAGCAAACA
rnacentral:rRNA from 1 species